GUUUGUUAGGUUCAGGUGCACAAGGUGAGGUGAAGAACAGACGCACACUCACAACACACACCCCGCAUGGAGUACGUGAAUUACCUGAGAUAUGGUUUGUCUCAUUUCAGUGACCCUGCUCUUCUCAGCUAUAUAUCCUACUCCUGAGCUCCCAGUGUUUGCCAGUUCCAUUGUGACCACUGCCCUACCCCUGGUCGGAGUCUCAUCGCUUGGUGGUGCCCACUGAUGCUGUGGAUGGAUCUGUGUGGACCAGGAGACAGCCAUGGACAGAGCCACUUGGGGACUUUCACACCAUCACAGAUCUGCCAUUUCAUCUGUCAGCUUCUGACAGCAAAGAAUUAGUGUCUAUAAUGACCUUAGAAACUACACUGACCUAAUAGUUCCUCAUGGGCCAUUGAUUGCUGUUGUAGAAAGGACAUUAAUCAGUUACAGUUACAUUAUUUACUGUUUAUUGUCACCCAAAUGAGGAUAUGUUAUCUUCUGAGCCUGGUUCCUCUCAAGGUUUAUUCCUCAUAUCAUCCCAGGGAGUUUUUCCUUGCCAGCAUCACCACAGGCUUGCUCAUUAGGGAUAAAAUAAAAUAGUUUAUUAAUUUAAUUUAAUAAUUUAUUCUUAUUUCUAGGUAUUUAGUUAUUUUUUAAAAUAAUUUUAUUUUCAUUUUUCCCCUCACCUUUCUCCGUUUCUCUUCUUUUGUAAAGCUGCUUUGAGACAACGUUCAUUGUAAAAGGUGCUAUACAAAAUAAAUUGAAUUGAAUUAGGGAGGAUGACACACACACUCUUUGUGUGCUUUGUUUGGGUGAGGAGCAUGCCUAGUCGGCUCUCGAGUGAUCUGGCUGUGUGCAUUGCUGGAGAUUCACUCCUCGCAAAUCCGAUCCUGUGUGGUUUUGUUUGUUUGUUUGUCUAUCUACGCUUCACAGAUAGAGUUAGCGGAAGCAGAACAAGAGACGGGUCUUUCCCUUUCUCUUGUCCGCUCUCCUGACUCCGAUGUCCGCAUUUUGGCUCCGGGAGCUCACUCUGCGAUUUCUACUGACCCGGAAGUGGAUAUAUAUUUUUCUACAUAGUAGGCAAUGAGGGGAAUCCCUCCGUUGAUUUGCCACCACAAUCCGUGGCAUCCGAGGAGCUUCUCGAUGUAAUAAUGCGUGCUGUGUGUAAGUAUCAUCAUGCAGACAGUUGCCAUUUUUUCCAGACCUCCAUGCUGAGGUAUUGAGGUCCUGGAAGAACCUACAGUAUAUUUGGUGCACCUUUUUUUCCCCCGCCUCCUCUAAUUAUUCAGCCAUUAUGGAGCUGGAUAUACAUGGUUAUGGUUAAGGUGGAAGAGACGCUUGUGAGCUAUCUCUCCACUAAAUCACUGGCAUGGAGGAGGCUGGCACUCCCUUCUAAAACAUAUAAAGACACUUCAGCCCUUGGGGGGAAGGCCUACAUGGAUCAAGAUCAAGACUCUGGCUUUUACAGAAGUCCCAAGAGAGACAGGGGACUAUGUCCAAUUUUGGGCCUGCAAGCUCUGAGCUCUGCCCUAAUGACGUUCAGGUUCAUUGUUCAGAUCAGGUCCGAGGACUGGUUUGUGACAGUAGACCUCAAGAAUGCCUAUUUUAUAUAGGUAUUCAGCCAGAACACAGGAAUUUCUCCAGGUUUGCUUUUGGGGGUGAAGCUUACCAGUAUCGGGUUAUUCCUUUCGGUCUGGCCUUGUCACCGCACACUUUUAUGAAGUGGAUGGAUGCUACCCUGGCACCGCUGCGUCUCCAGGACAUCCAUGUACUUAAUUUCCUGUAUAACUGGCUCGUCCUGGCACAGACUUAGGCCAUGGCAGCCAGUCAUCGGGAUGCUGUGCUUGCCUAUAUAAGGCUCUAGGUCUCAGGAUGAACCCAGAGAAGUGUGUACUUUCUCCUUCUCAGAGAACCACCUUCUUGGGGGUAACUUUGGAUUCCACUGCGGUGCUGGCAUGUCUAUCUCCUGCUUGGGUGGCUUCCAUACUGUUAGCAGUGAAUGCUAUUCAGCUAGACUGAAGCCUCUCUGUCACUGAGGUGCAGAAAGUGCUCGGCCUCAUGGUGGCAGCAACCAGCGUUAUCCUUCUGGGUCUGAUUCACAUGAGGCUAUUCCAAUUCUGGCUCAGAGAUGCGGGCUUUUUAUCCCUAUGGGCAUCCCCUCAGUGCCAUAAGGGUUAUGCACUUCAUACCCUUCUUAUGGGGAAGACCCUGGUUUCUGACCUUGGGUCCCACUCUAGAGGCAUGUCAUCAUUGUGGGACUCCUUUGAUGGAUGCCUCACUUUUGGGUGAAGUGUGGAAGCUCUGGGUCUGGCCCCUGAGGGGUACCAGUACCUAGAGGCAGGCCUCUCAUUAGAGAUUGUGGAGACUCUGCUGAAUGCUAGGGCACCCUCCACUAGGAAGCUGUAUGCUCUAAAGUGGAGGCCUUUUAGUCUCUGGUGCACUCAGUGCGAGCAGGAGCCAGUACACUGCCCAGUCGGUACAGUGAUAAGAUUCCUAGAGUCUCACCUUUCUCGGGGCCUAUCCCCCUCUACUUUAAAGGUGUAUGUGGCCGCCAUUGCUGUGAACCACUCACUUGUCCUUGGUGCCUCCCUAGGUAGGCACCGUCUGGUCUCUCGCUUUCUGCACUGGGCCAGGUGGCUGAGGCCUUCCUGCAGACCACGCCUCCCCUCCUGUGACCUCUCAGUGGUCCUGGAUGGGUUGCUGGAAGCCCGGUUUGAGCCCAUGGAGUAAACCUCAGAGAAGUUUCUGAGCCUUAAGACGGCUCUGCUUUUAGCCUUGGCUUCCCUUAGAUGGGUAGGGGAUCUGCAGGCUCUGUCGGUUGCCCCUGCCUGCCUGGAGUUUGCCCCUGGCAUGUCCAAGGCUAUCUUGCACCCCAGGGCUGGAUAUGUCCCAAAGGCCUUCUGUCUUCUGCCCCAUGACUUGGCAGAACAGGAGAGGCUGCAUUUGCUCUGCAAAUGUCCCCCUCCUUAUCCGUCUGUUUUGGGAGCCAGAACAAGAGUAUUCCGGUGUCCAAGCAGUGCUUGGCACACUAGGUGGUAGAGGCCAUUACCCAGGCCUAUGAGGCACGUGAUAUUGCUUCGCCUCUGGGGGCCUCAUCCAGUGCCCUGGCUAGGGGUGUUCACUGACAGGAGAUUUGUGCUGUGGCAGGCUGGUCCUCUCCGCACACCUUUAUCAGGUUUUAUAACCUGGACCUGGACCCCACUCCUGGGUCUCAGGUCCUUCAGGGCUAAUUGGUGUUCUGUUCCUGGUCCGCUCAUGCUCUCUCACAGCCCCUGGGACAGACAUCGAAUGGUGUGUGGUGGCAUGGGUAUUGAUGCUCCCAUAGGGUCAGUCAUGACGCAGCAUUGAGUUCCCUUGAAAGGGAACUAGAACAGGUUACAUAUGUAACCCGGUUCCCUGAGAAGGGAACGAGGCGCUGCAUUGCUGGCCACACCCCAAGCGUCCUCUCGCCCUUUCUUCAGACAAAAGGCAAGCUGAAUGGAUGUGAUGUAGAUGCCCUUAUAUGGACAUGCUGGCACGUAUUCCUCUGUCACAUGUCCUAUCCAAGCCAAUGAACACAGAGCUUCAGACACACUUCUUCAACAAAGUGUUCCCAUAGCGUCGGUCAUGAUGCAGCAUCUCGUUUCCUUCUUAGGGAACUGGGUUACAUACGUAACCUGUUGUAGUUUUACAUCACAUGCUUUAGUUUCUGUUUCAGAUUCCUCAAAAUAUUAAAAUGUUUGAACAAAUAUUUAAAUUAUAGUAAAAAAAUAAAUAAAUAAAUAAAUAAAUAAAAAAAAUAAACAUCUAGGCAUAAUUUCAAGAGAAAACCACAGAUGAGAAGCAGCGAUGAACCUAGGAAGAACACUGUAAUGGAAAUCCCAAAAAUAUUUCCUACAAUCUAAGACUUAUAUUUCAGGGUCUGCCAUAAUUAACAUGGAAAUUUAUUUAUUUUACAAUUUUUUAAAUCAACGGGUAUAUCAGAAAAUUGGGCAAGUGUCACUUCCCACUAAAGCCAUGCAAUUAUAAACCCCUUACCGUUCUUUUCAUCCAGCUGUUGAUUCUUUUUCUGCACUCGCUGCAGAUCUCCAAUCCUGUUAACCAGCCGCUUCUGAGUCUCGCUCAGAGUAUACUCUGUCUGUGUGUUAGGAAUCCUGCCAAAGUUACAGCAACAAGAGCAAGCUCAAGUAAAUGGAAUCAACUCACAACAUCUAACCAUGACAAAAUAACUGAUGUGAAUUAAUUCUUAAUUUGUGGCCAGGCAGAAUUCAUAUUUUUUAUUUAUAGUUGCUUAUACUGUAUAUAGGCUAAAAUAUAAAAUUUAAAUGAUCAAGUUAGUGUAAAACGUAACAUUGUGUUAACUCAGGUGUCAUGUAGUCUAUAAGUAAAAGUCACCUCAAGGUUGAACAUAUCAUCAGAAUAUAAAGAAGCCAGACUAAAAAAAAAAUACUUUUUAUGAUUUAAUACCACAGCUAAUAUCUGAAAUAUUGUCCAACAAUAUGCUGACUUUUUGUAUCAGGAUGCAUAUUAGAAAUGUUGUCUCCCUUAGACUGUAUUAAUUCACUUACUAUAACUUAAAUUAUUGAAAUAUUUGUACCAGGUGCAAAAAAUAGUCUUUUUAAAAAGUCACAUUGUUUAAAUAGCAAAGUACCCAGGAGUGAAACAAUUUGCUUGAGGUAACAGUUAAGCCCACAAUGACGUGAAGAAAUGGUCUGUUAUUCAAGGAAAAAUAAAAUAAAAUAAAAUUGCUUUUGAAUCUUUCUAUGUGAGCUUUCUAUGUGAAGGCAAGGCACUACAGCUUUUAGCUUAGAAAUUUUCUUUUUUAAAUUUUCUCCAAAGUUUUACUACUUAUUGUUAUAAACUUUCUCCCACUGUUAUUGAAAUACAUACAUUAGAGCAUUUAUCAUAUCAAAAUGUAUAUGACAUGGGACACCCCAAUAACUCACAGCACUCUUUCUCAUAUUUCUCAUAGUAGUUUGUGGUAUAGGAACAUAUAUUCCUCAUCCCUAUCACUUUGUGAAUGAGAUUAGAACAUGGAGUGAAGCUCAGACUUACUGGAGGGAGAAUUUCAAUGACCUGGCAACCAUCAACAACAUGGGAGAGAUGAAGAAGCUGAACCACACACUGAUGAAGGAAAAUGCAAAGAAAGCUUGGAUUGGUCUACAGGGAGAUGGACCUGGGAAAUAAAGUUGAUUGGCUUAUUGGCCGAUUUAUUGACUCGGGUAGCUCAUCUGAUGAAGCGGAGCCCACCAGCAAGACCAUAAAAUGGCAUCUACAUCACAUCACUCCAGCUUCUACUUGUCUGAAGGAAGUGCAAGUGGACACCCUGGGCGUGUCCAGCUAUGACACAGUAUUUUGUUCCCUUCUCAGGGAACUGGGUUACAUACAUAACCUGGUGUAGUUCCCUUUCGAGGGAACUCCAUGCUGCAUUAUAGCUGAUGCUAUGGGAAUGCCAAUACCAAUGCCUCCACACGCCAGGAGAUGUCUGUCCCAGAGGUCCUGAAAGAGCACAAAUGAGCCAGGAGCAGAGCAUCAUUAGCCCUGUAAGACCCAGGACACAGGAGUGGGGUUCAGGUCCAAGUUAUAGAACCUGAUAAAGGACCAACCUGCCACAGCAGAAACAUCCUGGGGGGAUUGCCCCUAGCCAGGGUGCUGGACAAGGUGAUACACCAAGUGGAGCGAGCUGUAAUCCCUAGACUUGAAGCCACACAAUGCACCUCAUAAGCAUAGGAGAUAGCUAACACUACCCAGCACAAGGUGCUGCUUGGAGACAAGAUUGCUUUUGUUGUGGCCACCAAAGCAGGUGAAAAGGGAAAGGACUGAUAUCUUGUGCUCGAGCAAUAGGCAUAAGUCCCAAGAACCUGAACUGGGCACAGGAGAUGCAGUCUCUCCUGCUCCACCAACUUGGUGUGUCUGCAGGAACUCUGGAGUGUAAAAAGCUCUCAGUAAGACAAAUCUGGUCCCGUAUUCACAAAGCUUCUUAGAAUUCUCUCAGAUAGCUCCUAUCUUAGCCUAAAAAGUCCUAGCUGGGAGUCCUAGACUAAAAGUGAUAUAGGAAACUUCUCAGAGCAACUCUGAGUAAGGAAAGUACAAAAACCUUUAUCUUAGUGAGGAGGUGUGGUUGACCCCGUUGCUAGGGAUGAUGCAGCAAUUCAAGAAGUGAUUGGAUGAUAAAAAAAAUCUGUAAAGGUCUUAAAAUGCGCUCUUAGAAUGGACAGUGAAAUCAUAAUGUCUGUAUAUAAAGAAAUUGUAUAAUCAUGAAUAAAGGCUGCUUUAUGCAAAGUUUCUGUUAUAGGCUAAAUAUCUUAAAGUUAAUUAAAACAGCCAAAUGUUGAAAAUGUGUCUACUUUUGAAGCAACCAAUUUGCAUGCAGUAAUUACUAUAUUUAUGUUCUUACAUUUAUUUACCAUACUGAUUUAAUUACUUGUAAUCAGCAUUUCAGAUUGAUGGGAGCAAAUUGGCUCACCUUUUACCAAUUUACAUGAUUGCAGAACAGUCUAUUUAAGUUGCACUUUUGGAUAGUAUGUAGCCAACAAUCCAAGAGAGAUGGAAGGAAGUAAAAGAACAAGAAAACCAAAUUUGACAGAAGAGCAGUGUUUACUUUUAGCUCAGUUAGUUGAAGAAAAUAAAGCAAUUUUAAAAGGUAAAUUUGGCUCUGGCAUCACAGCUCAAGGAAAGACCUGGGAGAAAAUAUCUCAGCAGAUAAACUCCUCAUUCCCUCUGGUUGUGUGCACCAGCGAGGAAUGUGAAAAGUGGUGGUAUGUGUUGCAGUCUGAAGCCAGGAGGUAGAUUGCAGUACACAAACGGGAUUCUUCAAGCACAGGUGAGUGAUAUUACAGUUUCUUACUAUAUCUGGUUUGGUUAAAUAUGCCUACAGAACUAUAUACCUAAGCUACUUUGUUUUUAUGUGGAGGACCACCCACUAAACAACUGUCUCAGGUAGUGGAAACUGUAUUUAAUGUACUUGGACACUUGGAAAUAUCUGUCACUGGGCUGAAGGAAGGCACAGACAGCUCAAUGAUCCAGCUUAUGGGAAUACAACAAAGCAUGGAGCCAUUAGAGGAACCGGGGCCAUCAAUGUUGCAGGUGUGCAACCCUCAGCCUCAGCCAGUGUUUCAGAUAAGCCUGCCUGCUGCAGCCACCCCAACACCAUCCCUGCUGGACAGAAAAUUGGAGAUCGAAACUGAUACCCUCACACAGCACAAAAAAGUUCUCUGUUUACAGGAGGAGUAUUAUAAGCUAAAAA